rnacentral:rRNA from 1 species
AACGAACGCUGGCGGCAUGCCUAACACAUGCAAGUCGAACGAGACCUUCGGGUCUAUUGGCGCACGGGUGCGUAACGCGUGGGAACCUGCCCUUAGGUUCGGAAUAACUCCCCGAAAGGGGUGCUAAUACCGGAUAAUGUCUUCGGACCAAAGAUUUAUCGCCUUUGGAUGGGCCCGCGUUGGAUUAGCUAGUUGGUAGGGUAAAAGCCUACCAAGGCGACGAUGCAUAGCUGGUCUGAGAGGAUGAUCAGCCACACUGGGACUGAGACACGGCCCAGACUCCUACGGGAGGCAGCAGUGGGGAAUAUUGGACAAUGGGCGAAAGCCUGAUCCAGCAAUGCCGCGUGAGUGAUGAAGGCCUUAGGGUUGUAAAGCUCUUUUAACCGGGAUGAUAAUGACAGUAACGGGAGAAUAAGCUCCGGCUAACUCCGUG